UACAGAGGGGCAAGCGUUGUUCGGAAUUACUGGGCGUAAAGGCGCGUAGGCGGCCUUCUAAGUCGAACGUGAAAUCCCCGGGCUCAACCCGGGAACUGCGUCCGAUACUGGAAGGCUUGAAUCCGGGAGAGGGAUGCGGAAUUCCAGGUGUAGCGGUGAAAUGCGUAGAUAUCUGGAGGAACACCGGUGGCGAAGGCGGCAUCCUGGACCGGCAUUGACGCGUGAGGCGCGAAAGCCAGGGGAGCAAAGC
rnacentral:rRNA from 1 species